ensembl:lincRNA
CACACAGGAGAAGAUGGGAAAAUUAAAUAAUAGGUUAUUUCCCUUCGGGUAUUUUAUGAAUAAUUGUAAUAAUUGAUUAUUAAGAAUGUAUGUUUUUCUUUGAUUUCUAUAGGUAUAGUGAAAUUAUUAAUAUGUGGUCAAUCAAAGCAACUGCUCAGAGCCAAAAUUCUAACUUUCAACUAUAUGAAAGACGCCAGUCCAGUCUAGAUCCACAAGUUGUAUUUCUCCCACUUUGUCAUCUGGAAGAAAUUCAGAAACCCUUCUCCAGUAAGCAUUUCUCCCCUGGGUGCACUAAGCUCUCAGUGCUGCCUUUAAGCACCACCAUAUCAAUUUGUACUGCUUGAUUUUCUUCCCACCCUCCCCGGGUAAGUAGAGAGUAAGAAUUUUCAUUGAAGAUGCUUUCUGUCAUUACUCCAUAUAUUUAUUAAUUACACAGUAAUUAGAAACUGACUUUUUAGCAGGAACUCAGUGUUUGGCAUCCACAAGGAAGACUUCACUCUAUUUUUACAUGUAUUACGGAUUUCACCAGCUCCAGCCUGCUCUCUAACAUAUUGUAAGUACUCAGUAAAAUGGAUGAAUAGAUUAAUAGAUAUCCUGUAUUUACUGAACUAUGAUGAUUAUUUACUGAGCCACUAGAGUCACUUAAUAUAUAAUAACUGAUAUAAUAUCUUGGGUGCUUUUCAUAUAUAAUCGCAUUUGAUUAUCAAAAAUACUAAAAAGGAAGGCCUUAGUAUACCCGUGUUUUAGACGAUAAAAUUGAGAAACAG